GAUGAACGCUGACAGAAUGCUUAACACAUGCAAGUCAACUUGAAUUUGGGUUUUUAACUUAGGUUUGGGUGGCGGACGGGUGAGUAACGCGUAAAGAACUUGCCUCACAGCUAGGGACAACAUUUGGAAACGAAUGCUAAUACCUAAUAUUAUGAUAAUAGGGCAUCCUAUAAUUAUGAAAGCUAUAAGCGCUGUGAGAGAGCUUUGCGUCCCAUUAGCUAGUUGGAGAGGUAACGGCUCACCAAGGCGAUGAUGGGUAGCCGGCCUGAGAGGGUGAUCGGCCACAAGGGGACUGAGACACGGCCCUUACUCCUACGGGAGGCAGCAGUGGGGAAUAUUGGACAAUGGACCGAGAGUCUGAUCCAGCAAUUCUGUGUGCACGAUGAAGUUUUUCGGAAUGUAAAGUGCUUUCAGUUGGGAAGAAACAAAUGACGGUACCAACAGAAGAAGUGACGGCUAAAUACAUG
rnacentral:rRNA from 1 species